AACGUAGGAGACAAACGUUAUCCGGAGUUACUGGGCGUAAAGAGCGCGUAGGCGGAACGUUAAGCGGGGCCGGAAAGCCCCCGGCUCAACCGGGGAAGGGGCCGCGAACUGGCGUUCUUGAGGGGGAGAGGGGAGAGGCGGAAUUCCUGGUGUAGCGGUGAAAUGCGCAGAUAUCAGGAGGAACACCGAUGGCGAAGGCAGUUCUCUGGGCCGUUACUGACGCUGAGGAGCGAAAGCGUGGGGAGCGAACAGG
rnacentral:rRNA from 1 species